CACGUAGGGCGCAAGCGUUGUCCGGAAUUAUUGGGCGUAAAGAGCUCGUAGGCGGUUUGUCGCGUCUGCUGUGAAAACCUGAGGCUCAACCUCGGGCUUGCAGUGGGUACGGGCAGACUAGAGUGCGGUAGGGGUGACUGGAAUUCCUGGUGUAGCGGUGGAAUGCGCAGAUAUCAGGAGGAAUACCGAUGGCGAAGGCAGGUCACUGGGCCGCAACUGACGCUGAGGAGCGAAAGCGUGGGGAGCAAACAGG
rnacentral:rRNA from 1 species